rnacentral:lncRNA from 1 species
GAGGGAAUUCACAGGAAAGACUGUUGGACUUGUAGCACCACCUUUGCCACUGGAAAUGAUGGCUAAGUGAUCUCACACAGGGUUCUAAGGGCUCUCUGAGGACACUGGAGGACAGAGCAUCCCACCCUGGAAGGGCUUCCCCCUCCGACCUGCAGUGCUCCUGUUCUAGUUAAAACAAGACCCAGAGAAACUGUUACCAUUGAAAUUGACCAAGGGCACAAAACACUAUGUCUUUCUAUCCUUUUGCUGGUUUUGUACCCUUAAUAGCUUUUUGUCAUUGAAAUGGAGUCUGUAUGGGGACCAGUGUGUUAGACAAGGUCCUCCAGAGAAACAGGACCAGGUUGUAGAUGUGGGAAGAGGAGAGAGAUUGGUCUAAGGUCCUGAGGAACUAUGGAGUAAAUGGAGAAGGCCAAUGUCCCAGCUCAAGGAGGCAGGCAGAAAGCAAAGGGGACAAAUUCCUCCUUCCUUCAUCUUUUUUGUUUUCUUUUUGAGAUGGGGGGGUCUCACUAAGUUGCAGGGGCUGGUCUUGAACUCACGGAUUCAUGUGAUCCUCCACCUCAGACUUCUGAGUAGCUGUUCCACCAUGCCUGGUCCCCACCUUAUCAUUUUUUGUUAGCCUCUCGAUAAAUUGGAUGAUGUCCUCCUACCUUAGGGAAGGUGAUCUAAUACCAAGUCUACAGAUUAAAAUACUGAUCUUACCUGGAAACACCGUCAUAGACACACCCAGUUUACAUUGGGCAAUGCACAGUGUAGUUAACGGACACUGAAAAUUGGCCAAUACAACCAGCCAACAAUAGAAUGCGUGGGGAGGAGAGAGAAAGAAACACAGCCUCAGGGUUGGGGAAGGAAGUGGGAGUGUAGAGUGUGGACAGGCUCACUAUCUCCAUUUUAGAGGUGAGGAAAUUAGGUCCAAAGAGCUCAAGUAACUUGCCCAAGUUCACAAAGCUAGUGAGGGAUGGUGCUGGGACUUGAACCUGCUCAGUGCAACAUUGUGCUCUGCUGUGCCCUCCUGCCCCUCUUUGGCUUAAGGAUUUUAUGUCUGGUUCAUUUGUUAGGUAGUUAUAAAAAGGAAAUGCUUUUUGGCAUGGGGAACCUACUUUUUGUCCAUUAAAACACACUUCUAGGGUAGGUCCCACUGGCCAAUAACUUUGGAGAUUGAUGACAUCAUUGUCAUCAUGUGAACGGUCUAUUAAGCACCUCUGUCCAAGAACCAGGCUGAAGAUCCUGCCUUUGAAGCAUCAAGUGGAAGAGAUAGCAUGUAGACAAGUUCAAUAAACAGUUAAAAAGUGAUACCUGCUAGGGAAGAACAUUGAGGCUUGGUUGGAUUCUUGGAGUUAUUACUUAUACCUCAUGAAAGUUGCUCUGAAUUUCUUGUUGGGCACUAAGAUAUUCAAGAUUAUGUCCAAGUUAAGUUCUUGUAGAACUCAGGGAGGGGGGUGAGGGUUAGCUCAGAGAGUGGGACCAGGGACAGCAGAUGUGGGUGCCUCUGAAAUUUAUGGGUCUCAAAGUCUCCGAAUCUGCUCAGUUCCUUAGUUAAAAACCAGCUCUGUGUAGAGACCAAUCCUUGGGCAUCACAGGCAAGAAGGCACCUACAUCUGUGGGAAAAGUGGGAAAUCUCAUUGGACUGUGUUCUUUGAGAUAGUCCUGGUCGUAUUUAACUCCAAAGGUUGAAAGAGAAAGUAAGUUUUAUUUCUAUGGAGCUUGUGAAACCAGGAGCCCUGGGUUGCAGCAGGUUCCCUGGCGAGUUCUGCCCAACAUCCAGCACAGAGCAGGGGACACUUGAGUACUGUGUGGGACAUUAGUGCCCCGACACACUGCACACUGGCAGGCUCAGAGCAGCCCUCUGCGUUUCUCACUCCUGCCUCUGUUCCCAUCAGGUGUGGCCUUUGUCACCAGAGGGCUCAGCCCCAUCUCUACUGGAACCAUCACUCACCUAAUUGUUCUGAUAAGAAAUCCUGCAUCAUCCUCACCCCAUGCUCUUGCACGUCACCCAGAUGCCUCACCUACGUUUGCUCCUUCCUCUCUCUGCUGCUGCUCUGAGUCCAGCAGCACCCUCCACCCUGGACUCCUGCAGAGCCUCUUUUCUUGUCUCCUGCUUCCUCUUUUUUCCUUCCGGUUUCUUCUCCAUGCACAGUGAGUGGCCUAAGUGAUUUCUUAGAUUAAAUUGUACCAUUUGUGUGUACCUUCUGAAGACCUCUCAGUGGCCUUCCACUGCUGUUGGAAUAAGUCCACACCUAGCAGGAUGGCAGCGAGGUCCUGCCUGAUCAGGCUCCUGCCCCGCCUUCCAGCUUCAUCUUUGUACCCCCCUCCUCCCCUUCUCACCGGUGUCACUCUGGCUCCUUUGUAUUCCUUAGAUCCUUUCAGCACUUGCCAUAUCUGGUCUUCUGGCACUUCGUUCCCUUGGCCAGGGAUACCUUUCCUCCUGACUCUUUGUGUGGUUGGCCUGUUUUAUACUUCAGGUCUUGCUUCCUCGGCAGGGUCUCACCUGCGCUAUCUCCCCCUCUCCACUCAGUUAUUGCACUUCUUUCUCCCCAGCAUGUAGCAUGCAUUUUAUUUAUUUAUUUUUUUGGCGGUGCUAAGUGUGGCGUGCAUUUUUAUUCCAUAUAAAUAAUUGGCUCUCCUUGGAUUCAACCAAUAACAAAUAUUUGGCAAAGAACAUGCAUCUUCUUCUCCUUUUUUAAAAAUAUUUUUUAAAGUUAUUGAUAGACCUUUAUUUAUUUGUUUAUUUAUAUGGGGUGCUGAGAAUCGAACCCAGUGCCUCACACAUGUCAGGCAAGUGCACGACCACUGAGCCACAGUCCCAGCCCUAGAACAUGCAUCUUCUUUACAAAGCUUUUUUCUUUUUAUUAUUCCCUCCACAAUGCUAUAUUACAGCAAUCUGCAUAGCAUUUACAUUGUGUUAGUUAUUACAAGUAAUCUGGAG